CAAGCACACACCCUUAGAUUAACAGCUCCAAAGUACUGCAUACUUCCAUAAGUCACCCUGUAAUGCAAAACCAAGUGUGGUUUGUCACCUCACUUCAAUCUCUAUUACAGUGAAGUCAGUAAGUGUGGAAUAUUAAAAUGGAUAAUGCUAGCAUGCAUUUUAAAGAAUAAUUCUCAGCACUUGCCAAAUCAUGCUCUCUGAGGUAUCUGCAAGUGUGGGAGGGAUGCAUGCUGUCAAAGGGACCUGUGUUUCAUGGUCAUUUCAGGCAGGGGGCUGCAAAGUUCAUUAAAUGAUCUUAUCUCACUACUGCUUCUGUUCAAAAUAACCUUGAUAUGAUGAAGGAUUUAUGUUACCCCCACUUCAAAUAAAAAGUACCAAGGGAUGCAUUUCACUACUGUCCUGUGACACUGGAGAAGCCAGGGCUGCUGCAGCAAUAUUCUUCGUUUGUUUGUGUCACAAAGACGAUUUCUUUGCAGGAAGAGCUCAACUCCUGAGAAAAUGAAUAGUCAAUACAUACGUCAUGAAGUGCGGGGAUGUGAAACUAGCGACCUGAGAAACUUCUGGGAAAAGACAAUUGAACAGCAAACUCAGUAUCUGCAAGUUGAAAAAGAACGUCAGCAAAGAAGUGCUCUGACAAAGCUCAGAAACGAAUGGAUGGAGAGACUGGAAAAACGAAUAAAGAUGUUGAGGACCCAAUCAGAAGACACAUCUAGUUGAAGAUCCCACACUAACUGCAUCAGAGCCCUACUCAGACUAAGAAAGUGAGGACAUGUAUGAACAUACCAUUACAUCCUAGACCACAAGCACUGCCAAACCUAGCAGCCUUUAUAGAUCUUAUUUGGCAUAUUAAAUAUUUGUGAAGCCAUUAAUACAGAUUCUGAGAAAUGGGCUGUGUGAUAUAGUGACAAGAACUGUUUUACUUGUUAACCCAAAUUAACCAAAUCAAGAGGCAAAACAACUUGGAGAUUUGAAGCUGUUUCUGGUACUCAAACCAAGUCAUCUAGAGCUGGACUGAUACAUGUUACACAGAGCAACUUUAUGCAUCUUCACAGCUGUUUGACAACCUGAGUGGUGAGCGCACUCUUUUCUCUAACCCGAUGAGAUCUAAUAUAUAUUCCUUCACAACCAGUACCUUCAGAAAAAUAGCAAAUUUCCUCUCCCACAUUUGCCAUUAGUCAGAGCAGUUUCUAGUUCCCUUUCUAAUGCUUCAUAAGGAUGUGAUGUCUCUUUCAACAGUAUCAAAGUACAGCAAUAUGCAGCAUAAUAAAAUUAUUUCCUUCUUAGGGUUUCCA
rnacentral:lncRNA from 1 species